rnacentral:misc_RNA from 1 species
AAGACUCGAAUGCAGGUUGCACAUUCGCGCUCAAGGGCCAAAGUGACACGAUAACCAGAUGUCCCAAUCCAACAGAUAUGUUUUAGGGGUCCUUUUAUAAAAUAUGAUAGUUCUUCAAGGUAUGUUAUACACGUAUCUACACAGUUUGUCCUUCAAAGCUUGGGCAGAUGAGAAAAAAUCACCUAGUGUUUUAGCCUCCGUUAGGAACUG